GGCCCCGGCCCCGUUGCCAUCCCCUCCUGGGGGGAGGGGCAGUGCUGGCGUGGGAGGUGCUCCCCGCCCCGCCCUUGCCGUGGCCCCCGUCAGCCCCCUUGGGUGACCACUGCAGUGACCUCAGGGAGGACUGGCAGCCCAGCCUGUGCCAGCCGUGGAGCCGUGGCCACGCCACCCUCCUGCUGCGCGGGGCCUGCUCCGAGGACACUCCCAGCGUCACCCCCGGGCCUUGCCGGGCUGCCACUUCCUGCCGUCCCAGCCUGAGCAGGGGCAGAGGUGGCUUCCCAGGCUCAGAGGGCACCACCUCGCCUGGAGGGGUGGGCGCUGCCUGUGGUGCUGGCCGUGAGGUCCGGCCCUCCUGUCCACUGUGGUCAGGGCAGCGCGGGUCAGGGGAAGGGGCACUGGCCGUGAGGCCCGGCCCUCCUGUCCACUGUGGUCGGGGCAGCGCGGGUCAGGGGAAGGGGCACUGGCCGUGAGGCCCGGCCCUCCUGUCCACUGUGGUCGGGGCAGCGCGGGUCAGGGGAAGGGGCACAGGCCGUGAGGCCCGGCCCUCCUGUCCACUGUGGUUGGGGCAGUGCAGGUCAGGGGAAGGGGCGCUGGCCGUGAGGCCCGGCCCUCCUGUCCACUGUGGUCAGGGCAGUGCGGGUCAGGGGAAGGGGCACAGGCCGUGAGGUCCGGCCCUCCUGUCCACUGUGGUCAGGGCAGCGCGGGUCAGGGGAAGGGGCACAGGCCGUGAGGUCCGGCCCUCCUGUCCACUGUGGUCAGGGCAGCGCGGGUCAGGGGAAGGGGCACAGGCCGUGAGGCCCGGCCCUCCUGUCCACUGUGGUCGGGGCAGCGCGGGUCAGGGGAAGGGGCGCUGGCCGUGAGGCCCGGCCCUCCUGUCCACUGUGGUCGGGGCAGCGCGGGUCAGGGGAAGGGGCGCUGGCCGUGAGGCCCGGCCCUCCUGUCCACUGUGGUCGGGGCAGCGCGGGUCAGGGGAAGGGGCGCUGGCCGUGAGGCCCGGCCCUCCUGUCCACUGUGGUCAGGGCAGCGCGGGUCAGGGGAAGGGGCACAGGCCGUGAGGUCCGGCCCUCCUGUCCACUGUGGUCAGGGCAGCGCGGGUCAGGGGAAGGGGCGCUGGCCGUGAGGCCCGGCCCUCCUGUCCACUGUGGUCGGGGCAGCGCGGGUCAGGGGAAGGGGCGCUGGCCGUGAGGCCCGGCCCUCCUGUCCACUGUGGUCGGGGCAGCGCGGGUCAGGGGAAGGGGCACAGGCCGUGAGGCCCGGCCCUCCUGUCCACUGUGGUCGGGGGCAGCGCGGGUCAGGGGAAGGGGCGCUGGCCGUGAGGCCCGGCCCUCCUGUCCACUGUGGUCGGGGCAGCGCGGGUCAGGGGAAGGGGCGCAGGCCGUGAGGCCCAGGGCUCUGUGCCCAGCACCCCGGCAGGUCCUCUGUGGGGACGGCAGCAGGGCCCUGAGCUGGCUCCUCCCAGGGCUGUGUGGCCUGGAGCUGUGGCAGUGCCCGGCAGCCUGCGGGGGGCGGCACCCCCAGGUGUGACCGCACCGUGGCCUUGGCACCCGGGUUGUGACGGCGCUGGAGCCGGUCCCUGCCACACGCCGCCUCUGCCGGCGAGGGUGGGGUCGGGCCGGGCCACGCAGGAGCCUCUGCUGCAGGUAUGCUUCCCAGACACUUUCUAUUUAAAAGAACCGCGGGGUGGGGGGCUCUUCCAUCUGCUGGUUCACUCUCCGAUGGCUGCGGCUGGGCCAGGCUGAAGCCCGGAGCCAAGAACUCCGUCCAGGUCUCCCACGCCGGUGCAGGGGCCCGAGCCCCUGGGCGCCCUCCGCGCUUUCCCAGGUCACAGCAGGAGCCGGGCGGGAGGUGGGGCCGCCGGGCCUCGCCCCAGGCGCUGGUAGGAGAUGCAGCAGUGCAGGCGCUGGCUGUCCCAGGUCCCCUCUGCCCGGCGCCACAGGAGGUGAGCCCGCUGUCCGGCGAGGCUGCCCGAGCCCCUGACCAGCUUCCUCUGCUUCC